GACGAACGCUGGCGGCGUGCCUAACACAUGCAAGUCGAACGGAAAGGCCCUGCUUUUGUGGGGUGCUCGAGUGGCGAACGGGUGAGUAACACGUGAGUAACCUGCCCUUGACUUUGGGAUAACUUCAGGAAACUGGGGCUAAUACCGGAUAGGAGCUCCUGCUGCAUGGUGGGGGUUGGAAAGUUUCGGCGGUUUGGGAUGGACUCGCGGGUUAUCAGCUUGUUGGGGGGGUAGUGGCUUACCAAGGCUUUGACGGGUAGCCGGCCUGAGAGGGUGACCGGCCACAAUGGGACUGAGAUACGGCCCAGACUCCUACGGGAGGCAGCAGUGGGGAAUAUUGCGCAAUGGGCGGAAGCCUGAUGCAGCAACGCCGCGUGCGGGAUGACGGCCUUCGGGUUGUAAACCGCUUUCGCCUGUGACGAAGCGUGAGUGACGGUAAUGGGUAAAAAAGCACCGGCUAACUACGUG
rnacentral:rRNA from 1 species